rnacentral:rRNA from 1 species
UACGGAGGGUGCAAGCGUUAUCCGGAUUCACUGGGUUUAAAGGGUGCGUAGGUGGCGUGGUAAGUCAGUGGUGAAAUCUCCAAGCUUAACUUGGAAACUGCCGUUGAUACUAUCAUUCUUGAAUAUCGUGGAGGUAAGCGGAAUAUGUCAUGUAGCGGUGAAAUGCGUAGAUAUGACAUAGAACACCGAUUGCGAAGGCAGCGUGCUACACGAUCAUUGACACUGAGGCACGAAAGCGUGGGGAUCAAACAGG